rnacentral:rRNA from 1 species
ACGGGUGAGUAACACGUGAGCAACCUGCCCCUGACUCUGGGAUAAGCGCUGGAAACGGCGUCUAAUACUGGAUACGAACCACGAAGGCAUCUUCAGUGGUUGGAAAGAUUUAUUGGUUGGGGAUGGGCUCGCGGCCUAUCAGCUUGUUGGUGAGGUAAUGGCUCACCAAGGCGUCGACGGGUAGCCGGCCUGAGAGGGUGACCGGCCACACUGGGACUGAGAUACGGCCCAGACUCCUACGGGAGGCAGCAGUGGGGAAUAUUGCACAAUGGGCGCAAGCCUGAUGCAGCAACGCCGCGUGAGGGAUGACGGCCUUCGGGUUGUAAACCUCUUUUAGCAGGGAAGAAGCGAAAGUGACGGUACCUGCAGAAAAAGCACCGGCUAACUACGUGCCAGCAGCCGCGGUAAUACGUAGGGUGCAAGCGUUAUCCGGAAUUAUUGGGCGUAAAGAGCUCGUAGGCGGUUUGUCGCGUCUGCUGUGAAAUCUGGGGGCUCAACCCCCAGCCUGCAGUGGGUACGGGCAGACUAGAGUGCGGUAGGGGAGAUUGGAAUUCCUGGUGUAGCGGUGGAAUGCGCAGA